rnacentral:tRNA from 1 species
GGGAGUGUCGUUUAAAUGGUAAAACAAUAAUCUCCAAAAUUAUAAAUAAAGGUUCGAAUCCUUUCAUUCCUG